UCCAUUUUUUAUCUAGUGGGAGAAACUCCGGCAUCGGAUAAGGAAAUAGUCAUACUAUGCAACGCCGCUCUAUUCAUCGAUCGAUAAAGAUUUGGAGGAAAUUGGCAUAGUUAAUAGAGAUUUGAAUAAUAUCGUGCAGUUCUGGAUGGCCUCCAUCAACAACUAUCAAACAAGAUAUCCUUAUAUGCCAUACACAGUAUGUCACUGUUGAUAGCUGUUCAUCUUAUACCACUUUCAAUCAGGAUUUCUAUAGUGCAAACUGCAUACCACUUUGAAUCUGGAACCAUUAGAUGCCCCAUAAUUCUAUACAGCUCUCAAUGCCGAGGUCAAUUUUCAUUAUUACUGAUCAUACCAAGCAGACGGCCUUCAGAAGUUCACGUGUAACCAGCGCGAUUCCCAUCACAGCUCAAAACCGUCCAAUCUCGGUGCCUGAGAGGCUAAUAUUUCACGCUGCCAUAUCAGGACGGCUUUCUUCCACGAAAACCAAAGCAGAUUCAAAUGAUCACUCUCUAUGUGCUGGGUUUGCAUAGUUUUGGAAGAAGGACAGUGAGAAGCCAGAACCUGGAGAAGCA
rnacentral:lncRNA from 1 species